rnacentral:rRNA from 1 species
CCUACGGGACGCACCAGUGGGGAAUAUUGCACAAUGGGCGCAAGCCUGAUGCAGCCAUGCCGCGUGUGUGAAGAAGGCCUUCGGGUUGUAAAGCACUUUCAGCGGGGAGGAAGGCGGUGAGGUUAAUAACCUCACCGAUUGACGUUACCCGCAGAAGAAGCACCGGCUAACUCCGUGCCAGCAGCCGCGGUAAUACGGAGGGUGCAAGCGUUAAUCGGAAUUACUGGGCGAAAAGCGCACGCAGGCGGUCUGUCGAGUCGGAUGUGAAAUCCCCGGGCUUAACCUGGGAACUGCAUUCGAAACUGGCAGGCUAGAGUCUUGUAGAGGGGGGUAGAAUUUCAGGUGUAGCGGUGAAAUGCGUAGAGAUCUGAAGGAAUACCAGUGGCGAAGGCGGCCCCCUGGACAAAGACUGACGCUCAGAUGCGAAAGCGUGGGGAGCAAACAGGAUUAGAUACCCGAGUAGUC